UACGGAAGGGGCAAGCGUUGUUCGGAAUCAUUGGGCGUAAAGGGUGCGUAGGUGGGUUGAUAAGUCAGUGGUGAAAUCCUGGAGCUCAACUCCAGAACUGCCUUUGAUACUGAGGAUCUUGAGUUCGGGAGAGGUGAGUGGAACUGCGAGUGUAGAGGUGAAAUUCGUAGAUAUUCGCAAGAACACCAGUGGCGAAGGCGGCUCACUGGCCCGAUACUGACGCUGAGGCACGAAAGCGUGGGGAGCAAACAGG
rnacentral:rRNA from 1 species